rnacentral:rRNA from 1 species
GAUGAACGCUGGCGGCGUGCCUAAUACAUGCAAGUCGAGCGAACGGACGAGAAGCUUGCUUCUCUGAUGUUAGCGGCGGACGGGUGAGUAACACGCGGAUAACCUACCUAUAAGACUGGGAUAACUUCGGGAAACCGGAGCUAAUACCGGAUAAUAUUUUGAACCGCAUGGUUCAAAAGUGAAAGACGGUCUUGCUGUCACUUAUAGAUGGAUCCGCGCUGCAUUAGCUAGUUGGUAAGGUAACGGCUUACCAAGGCAACGAUGCAUAGCCGACCUGAGAGGGUGAUCGGCCACACUGGAACUGAGACACGGUCCAGACUCCUACGGGAGGCAGCAGUAGGGAAUCUUCCGCAAUGGGCGAAAGCCUGACGGAGCAACGCCGCGUGAGUGAUGAAGGUCUUCGGAUCGUAAAACUCUGUUAUAAGGGAAGAACAUAUGUGUAAGUAACUGUGCACAUCUUGACGGUACCUAAUCAGAAAGCCACGGCUAACUACGUGCCAGCAGCCGCGGUAAUACGUAGGUGGCAAGCGUUAUCCGGAAUUAUUGGGCGUAAAGCGCGCGUAGGCGGUUUUUUAAGUCUGAUGUGAAAGCCCACGGCUCAACCGUGGAGGGUCAUUGGAAACUGGAAAACUUGAGUGCAGAAGAGGAAAGUGGAAUUCCAUGUGUAGCGGUGAAAUGCGCAGAGAUAUGGAGGAACACCAGUGGCGAAGGCGACUUUCUGGUCUGUAACUGACGCUGAUGUGCGAAAGCGUGGGGAUCAAACAGGAUUAGAUACCCUGGUAGUCCACGCCGUAAACGAUGAGUGCUAAGUGUUAGGGGGUUUCCGCCCCUUAGUGCUGCAGCUAACGCAUUAAGCACUCCGCCUGGGGAGUACGACCGCAAGGUUGAAACUCAAAGGAAUUGACGGGGACCCGCACAAGCGGUGGAGCAUGCGGUUUAAUUCGAAGCAACGCGAAGAACCUUACCAAAUCUUGACAUCCUUUGACAACUCUAGAGAUAGAGCUUUCCCCUUCGGGGGACAAAGUGACAGGUGGUACAUGGUUGUCGUCAGCUCGUGUCGUGAGAUGUUGGGUUAAGUCCCGCAACGAGCGCAACCCUUAAGCUUAGUUGCCAUCAUUAAGUUGGGCACUCUAAGUUGACUGCCGGUGACAAACCGGAGGAAGGUGGGGAUGACGUCAAAUCAUCAUGCCCCUUAUGAUUUGGGCUACACACGUGCUACAAUGGACAAUACAAAGGGCAGCGAAACCGCGAGGUCAAGCAAAUCCCAUAAAGUUGUUCUCAGUUCGGAUUGUAGUCUGCAACUCGACUACAUGAAGCUGGAAUCGCUAGUAAUCGUAGAUCAGCAUGCUACGGUGAAUACGUUCCCGGGUCU